GUUUGAUCCUGGCUCAGAUUGAACGCUGGCGGCAUGCUUUACACAUGCAAGUCGAACGGCAGCACGGGGGCAACCCUGGUGGCGAGUGGCGAACGGGUGAGUAAUAUAUCGGAACGUACCCGGAAAUGGGGGAUAACGUAGCGAAAGUUACGCUAAUACCGCAUAUGCCCUAAGGGGGAAAGCGGGGGAUUCGCAAGAACCUCGCGUUUUCGGAGCGGCCGAUAUCGGAUUAGCUAGUAGGUGGGGUAAAGGCCUACCAAGGCAACGUACGCGUAAGGGGUCUGAGAGGAUGAUCCCUCACACUGGGACUGAGACACGGCCCAGACUCCUACGGGAGGCAGCAGUGAGGAAUAUUGCACAAUGGGGGGAACCCUGAUGCAGCGACGCCGCGUGGGUGAUGACGGCCU
rnacentral:rRNA from 1 species